GUGCCAGCAGCCGCGGUAAGACGAACCGUGCGAACGUUGUUCGGAAUCACUGGGCAUAAAGGGCGCGUAGGCGGCUUUUCAAGUCAGGGGUGAAAUCCGGCAGCUUAACUGUCGAAGUGCCCUUGAUACUGAGGAGCUCGAGGGAGGUAGGGGUGUGUGGAACUUCCGGUGGAGCGGUGAAAUGCGUUGAUAUCGGAAGGAACGCCGGUGGCGAAAGCGACGCACUGGACCUCUUCUGACGCUGAGGCGCGAAAGCCAGGGGAGCAAACGGGAUUAGAUACCCGUGUAGUCC
rnacentral:rRNA from 1 species